rnacentral:lncRNA from 1 species
GGUCAGCGCUAUGGUUAGGGUUAGGGUGAGCGCCAUGGUUAGGGUUAGGGCUAGAUGCCAGGCUGGGGUUAUCAUCAGCAGCCGCCCGGACUGCGAGUCGGCUGAUUUUUUGCAGGUCGGGACCCAGGAAACGCGGCGCACAGUGGACGUGGCACUGGCUGGAUAGGUUGGGGAAAUAAUCCCGUCUCCCCUAAAUUGCCCUACUUGGGUCGGCGGGGAGCGGGGAAUGCACGGGCCUACGCCCCGUCGGACACGCUCCCCAGGUCCCGAAAGGCUGGCGGCUACUUCCGCCAGCUGAACCGUAUUUGGUCUGGUGUGUAUUAAUUUGUAAUGAAGUUCAUGUAGUCCUAUUUGACUUACUCACACAUACACAAUUCAUACAUGAUCUAUAUUUGAUCUAUGUAUCCCUACAAUGUGCCUGCUGCGUCGACGUUUCGACCUAAUUUGGUCUUCUUCAGGACUGGGCACAUGUAACAGCUAAGGCUGCUGGGCCCCAAUUCAUAGGGGUGGACCAGCCAGCAGCCAGAAAGAAAUGAAAAGCCCUACCAACUUGUCUCCCUUUUAUAUCCCCUCCGCCAAAAAUUAGACUGAAUUUACUUGUAUUUAAGUUAUUUUCUACUCUAUUUAGUUUUUGAAAUUUAACCCUUUCUGCACCGCUUGUGCUUUAAAUCCAUAUUAAUUAUGUUUAUUCACAUAUUUGUGCUUUUAAUAAACAAAUUAAUAGGUAUUUUUGAUCCCAAUAUUAGGGUUAGGGUCCUGCUUGACCUUUGACCUCUGUGGCCUGCUUGGCCGUUGGUCAUUAAGUUGCCUCUAAUGGUUAGGGUUAGGGCGAGUCCCAGGUUAGGGUUAGAAUCCCAUACUAGGGUUAGGGUUAGGGUUAGAUUCCCAGGUUGGGGUUAGUGCUGGGGUUAGGGUUAGGGGUCAGCGCUAUGGUUAGGGUUAGGGUGAGCGCCAUGGUUAGGGUUAGGGCUAGAUGCCAGGCUGGGGUUAUCAUCAGCAGCCGCCCGGACUGCGAGUCGGCUGAUUUUUUGCAGGUCGGGACCCAGGAAACGCGGCGACAGUGGACGUGGCACUGGCUGGAUAGGUUGGGGAAAUAAUCCCGUCUCCCCUAAAUUGCCCUACUUGGGUCGGCGGGGAGCGGGGAAUGCACGGGCCUACGCCCCGUCGGACACGCUCCCCAGGUCCCGAAAGGCUGGCGGCUACUUCCGCCAGCUGAACCGUAUUUGGUCUGGUGUGUAUUAAUUUGUAAUGAAGUUCAUGUAGUCCUAUUUGACUUACUCACACAUACACAAUUCAUACAUGAUCUAUAUUUGAUCUAUGUAUCCCUACAAUGUGCCUGCUGCGUCGACGUUUCGACCUAAUUUGGUCUUCUUCAGGACUGGGCACAUGUAACAGCUAAGGCUGCUGGGCCCCAAUUCAUAGGGGUGGACCAGCCAGCAGCCAGAAAGAAAUGAAAAGCCCUACCAACUUGUCUCCCUUUUAUAUCCCCUCCGCCAAAAAUUAGACUGAAUUUACUUGUAUUUAAGUUAUUUUCUACUCUAUUUAGUUUUUGAAAUCUUAACCCUUUCUGCACCGCUUGUGCUUUAAAUCCAUAUUAAUUAUGUUUAUUCACAUAUUUGUGCUUUUAAUAAACAAAUUAAUAGGUAUUUUUGAUCCCAAUAUUAGGGUUAGGGUCCUGCUUGACCUUUGACCUCUGUGGCCUGCUUGGCCGUUGGUCAUUAAGUUGCCUCUAAUGGUUAGGGUUAGGGCGAGUCCCAGGUUAGGGUUAGAAUCCCAUACUAGGGUUAGGGUUAGGGUUAGAUUCCCAGGUUGGGGUUAGUGCUGGGGUUAGGGUUAGGGGUCAGCGCUAUGGUUAGGGUUAGGGUGAGCGCCAUGGUUAGGGUUAGGGCUAGAUGCCAGGCUGGGGUUAUCAUCAGCAGCCGCCCGGACUGCGAGUCGGCUGAUUUUUUGCAGGUCGGGACCCAGGAAACGCGGCGACAGUGGACGUGGCACUGGCUGGAUAGGUUGGGGAAAUAAUCCCGUCUCCCCUAAAUUGCCCUACUUGGGUCGGCGGGGAGCGGGGAAUGCACGGGCCUACGCCCCGUCGGACACGCUCCCCAGGUCCCGAAAGGCUGGCGGCUACUUCCGCCAGCUGAACCGUAUUUGGUCUGGUGUGUAUUAAUUUGUAAUGAAGUUCAUGUAGUCCUAUUUGACUUACUCACACAUACACAAUUCAUACAUGAUCUAUAUUUGAUCUAUGUAUCCCUACAAUGUGCCUGCUGCGUCGACGUUUCGACCUAAUUUGGUCUUCUUCAGGACUGGGCACAUGUAACAGCUAAGGCUGCUGGGCCCCAAUUCAUAGGGGUGGACCAGCCAGCAGCCAGAAAGAAAUGAAAAGCCCUACCAACUUGUCUCCCUUUUAUAUCCCCUCCGCCAAAAAUUAGACUGAAUUUACUUGUAUUUAAGUUAUUUUCUACUCUAUUUAGUUUUUGAAAUCUUAACCCUUUCUGCACCGCUUGUGCUUUAAAUCCAUAUUAAUUAUGUUUAUUCACAUAUUUGUGCUUUUAAUAAACAAAUUAAUAGGUAUUUUUGAUCCCAAUAUUAGGGUUAGGGUCCUGCUUGACCUUUGACCUCUGUGGCCUGCUUGGCCGUUGGUCAUUAAGUUGCCUCUAAUGGUUAGGGUUAGGGCGAGUCCCAGGUUAGGGUUAGAAUCCCAUACUAGGGUUAGGGUUAGGGUUAGAUUCCCAGGUUGGGGUUAGUGCUGGGGUUAGGGUUAGGGGUCAGCGCUAUGGUUAGGGUUAGGGUGAGCGCCAUGGUUAGGGUUAGGGCUAGAUGCCAGGCUGGGGUUAUCAUCAGCAGCCGCCCGGACUGCGAGUCGGCUGAUUUUUUGCAGGUCGGGACCCAGGAAACGCGGCGACAGUGGACGUGGCACUGGCUGGAUAGGUUGGGGAAAUAAUCCCGUCUCCCCUAAAUUGCCCUACUUGGGUCGGCGGGGAGCGGGGAAUGCACGGGCCUACGCCCCGUCGGACACGCUCCCCAGGUCCCGAAAGGCUGGCGGCUACUUCCGCCAGCUGAACCGUAUUUGGUCUGGUGUGUAUUAAUUUGUAAUGAAGUUCAUGUAGUCCUAUUUGACUUACUCACACAUACACAAUUCAUACAUGAUCUAUAUUUGAUCUAUGUAUCCCUACAAUGUGCCUGCUGCGUCGACGUUUCGACCUAAUUUGGUCUUCUUCAGGACUGGGCACAUGUAACAGCUAAGGCUGCUGGGCCCCAAUUCAUAGGGGUGGACCAGCCAGCAGCCAGAAAGAAAUGAAAAGCCCUACCAACUUGUCUCCCUUUUAUAUCCCCUCCGCCAAAAAUUAGACUGAAUUUACUUGUAUUUAAGUUAUUUUCUACUCUAUUUAGUUUUUGAAAUCUUAACCCUUUCUGCACCGCUUGUGCUUUAAAUCCAUAUUAAUUAUGUUUAUUCACAUAUUUGUGCUUUUAAUAAACAAAUUAAUAGGUAUUUUUGAUCCCAAUAUUAGGGUUAGGGUCCUGCUUGACCUUUGACCUCUGUGGCCUGCUUGGCCGUUGGUCAUUAAGUUGCCUCUAAUGGUUAGGGUUAGGGCGAGUCCCAGGUUAGGGUUAGAAUCCCAUACUAGGGUUAGGGUUAGGGUUAGAUUCCCAGGUUGGGGUUAGUGCUGGGGUUAGGGUUAGGGGUCAGCGCUAUGGUUAGGGUUAGGGUGAGCGCCAUGGUUAGGGUUAGGGCUAGAUGCCAGGCUGGGGUUAUCAUCAGCAGCCGCCCGGACUGCGAGUCGGCUGAUUUUUUGCAGGUCGGGACCCAGGAAACGCGGCGACAGUGGACGUGGCACUGGCUGGAUAGGUUGGGGAAAUAAUCCCGUCUCCCCUAAAUUGCCCUACUUGGGUCGGCGGGGAGCGGGGAAUGCACGGGCCUACGCCCCGUCGGACACGCUCCCCAGGUCCCGAAAGGCUGGCGGCUACUUCCGCCAGCUGAACCGUAUUUGGUCUGGUGUGUAUUAAUUUGUAAUGAAGUUCAUGUAGUCCUAUUUGACUUACUCACACAUACACAAUUCAUACAUGAUCUAUAUUUGAUCUAUGUAUCCCUACAAUGUGCCUGCUGCGUCGACGUUUCGACCUAAUUUGGUCUUCUUCAGGACUGGGCACAUGUAACAGCUAAGGCUGCUGGGCCCCAAUUCAUAGGGGUGGACCAGCCAGCAGCCAGAAAGAAAUGAAAAGCCCUACCAACUUGUCUCCCUUUUAUAUCCCCUCCGCCAAAAAUUAGACUGAAUUUACUUGUAUUUAAGUUAUUUUCUACUCUAUUUAGUUUUUGAAAUCUUAACCCUUUCUGCACCGCUUGUGCUUUAAAUCCAUAUUAAUUAUGUUUAUUCACAUAUUUGUGCUUUUAAUAAACAAAUUAAUAGGUAUUUUUGAUCCCAAUAUUAGGGUUAGGGUCCUGCUUGACCUUUGACCUCUGUGGCCUGCUUGGCCGUUGGUCAUUAAGUUGCCUCUAAUGGUUAGGGUUAGGGCGAGUCCCAGGUUAGGGUUAGAAUCCCAUACUAGGGUUAGGGUUAGGGUUAGAUUCCCAGGUUGGGGUUAGUGCUGGGGUUAGGGUUAGGGGUCAGCGCUAUGGUUAGGGUUAGGGUGAGCGCCAUGGUUAGGGUUAGGGCUAGAUGCCAGGCUGGGGUUAUCAUCAGCAGCCGCCCGGACUGCGAGUCGGCUGAUUUUUUGCAGGUCGGGACCCAGGAAACGCGGCGACAGUGGACGUGGCACUGGCUGGAUAGGUUGGGGAAAUAAUCCCGUCUCCCCUAAAUUGCCCUACUUGGGUCGGCGGGGAGCGGGGAAUGCACGGGCCUACGCCCCGUCGGACACGCUCCCCAGGUCCCGAAAGGCUGGCGGCUACUUCCGCCAGCUGAACCGUAUUUGGUCUGGUGUGUAUUAAUUUGUAAUGAAGUUCAUGUAGUCCUAUUUGACUUACUCACACAUACACAAUUCAUACAUGAUCUAUAUUUGAUCUAUGUAUCCCUACAAUGUGCCUGCUGCGUCGACGUUUCGACCUAAUUUGGUCUUCUUCAGGACUGGGCACAUGUAACAGCUAAGGCUGCUGGGCCCCAAUUCAUAGGGGUGGACCAGCCAGCAGCCAGAAAGAAAUGAAAAGCCCUACCAACUUGUCUCCCUUUUAUAUCCCCUCCGCCAAAAAUUAGACUGAAUUUACUUGUAUUUAAGUUAUUUUCUACUCUAUUUAGUUUUUGAAAUCUUAACCCUUUCUGCACCGCUUGUGCUUUAAAUCCAUAUUAAUUAUGUUUAUUCACAUAUUUGUGCUUUUAAUAAACAAAUUAAUAGGUAUUUUUGAUCCCAAUAUUAGGGUUAGGGUCCUGCUUGACCUUUGACCUCUGUGGCCUGCUUGGCCGUUGGUCAUUAAGUUGCCUCUAAUGGUUAGGGUUAGGGCGAGUCCCAGGUUAGGGUUAGAAUCCCAUACUAGGGUUAGGGUUAGGGUUAGAUUCCCAGGUUGGGGUUAGUGCUGGGGUUAGGGUUAGGGGUCAGCGCUAUGGUUAGGGUUAGGGUGAGCGCCAUGGUCAGGGUUAGGGCUAGAUGCCAGGCUGGGGUUAUCAUCAGCAGCCGCCCGGACUGCGAGUCGGCUGAUUUUUUGCAGGUCGGGACCCAGGAAACGCGGCGACAGUGGACGUGGCACUGGCUGGAUAGGUUGGGGAAACAAUCCCGUCUCCCCUAAAUUGCCCUACUUGGGUCGGCGGGGAGCGGGGAAUGCACGGGCCUACGCCCCGUCGGACACGCUCCCCAGGUCCCGAAAGGCUGGCGGCUACUUCCGCCAGCUGAACCGUAUUUGGUCUGGUGUGUAUUAAUUUGUAAUGAAGUUCAUGUAGUCCUAUUUGACUUACUCACACAUACACAAUUCAUACAUGAUCUAUAUUUGAUCUAUGUAUCCCUACAAUGUGCCUGCUGCGUCGACGUUUCGACCUAAUUUGGUCUUCUUCAGGACUGGGCACAUGUAACAGCUAAGGCUGCUGGGCCCCAAUUCAUAGGGGUGGACCAGCCAGCAGCCAGAAAGAAAUGAAAAGCCCUACCAACUUGUCUCCCUUUUAUAUCCCCUCCGCCAAAAAUUAGACUGAAUUUACUUGUAUUUAAGUUAUUUUCUACUCUAUUUAGUUUUUGAAAUCUUAACCCUUUCUGCACCGCUUGUGCUUUAAAUCCAUAUUAAUUAUGUUUAUUCACAUAUUUGUGCUUUUAAUAAACAAAUUAAUAGGUAUUUUUGAUCCCAAUAUUAGGGUUAGGGUCCUGCUUGACCUUUGACCUCUGUGGCCUGCUUGGCCGUUGGUCAUUAAGUUGCCUCUAAUGGUUAGGGUUAGGGCGAGUCCCAGGUUAGGGUUAGAAUCCCAUACUAGGGUUAGGGUUAGGGUUAGAUUCCCAGGUUGGGGUUAGUGCUGGGGUUAGGGUUAGGGGUCAGCGCUAUGGUUAGGGUUAGGGUGAGCGCCAUGGUCAGGGUUAGGGCUAGAUGCCAGGCUGGGGUUAUCAUCAGCAGCCGCCCGGACUGCGAGUCGGCUGAUUUUUUGCAGGUCGGGACCCAGGAAACGCGGCGACAGUGGACGUGGCACUGGCUGGAUAGGUUGGGGAAACAAUCCCGUCUCCCCUAAAUUGCCCUACUUGGGUCGGCGGGGAGCGGGGAAUGCACGGGCCUACGCCCCGUCGGACACGCUCCCCAGGUCCCGAAAGGCUGGCGGCUACUUCCGCCAGCUGAACCGUAUUUGGUCUGGUGUGUAUUAAUUUGUAAUGAAGUUCAUGUAGUCCUAUUUGACUUACUCACACAUACACAAUUCAUACAUGAUCUAUAUUUGAUCUAUGUAUCCCUACAAUGUGCCUGCUGCGUCGACGUUUCGACCUAAUUUGGUCUUCUUCAGGACUGGGCACAUGUAACAGCUAAGGCUGCUGGGCCCCAAUUCAUAGGGGUGGACCAGCCAGCAGCCAGAAAGAAAUGAAAAGCCCUACCAACUUGUCUCCCUUUUAUAUCCCCUCCGCCAAAAAUUAGACUGAAUUUACUUGUAUUUAAGUUAUUUUCUACUCUAUUUAGUUUUUGAAAUCUUAACCCUUUCUGCACCGCUUGUGCUUUAAAUCCAUAUUAAUUAUGUUUAUUCACAUAUUUGUGCUUUUAAUAAACAAAUUAAUAGGUAUUUUUGAUCCCAAUAUUAGGGUUAGGGUCCUGCUUGACCUUUGACCUCUGUGGCCUGCUUGGCCGUUGGUCAUUAAGUUGCCUCUAAUGGUUAGGGUUAGGGCGAGUCCCAGGUUAGGGUUAGAAUCCCAUACUAGGGUUAGGGUUAGGGUUAGAUUCCCAGGUUGGGGUUAGUGCUGGGGUUAGGGUUAGGGGUCAGCGCUAUGGUUAGGGUUAGGGUGAGCGCCAUGGUCAGGGUUAGGGCUAGAUGCCAGGCUGGGGUUAUCAUCAGCAGCCGCCCGGACUGCGAGUCGGCUGAUUUUUUGCAGGUCGGGACCCAGGAAACGCGGCGACAGUGGACGUGGCACUGGCUGGAUAGGUUGGGGAAACAAUCCCGUCUCCCCUAAAUUGCCCUACUUGGGUCGGCGGGGAGCGGGGAAUGCACGGGCCUACGCCCCGUCGGACACGCUCCCCAGGUCUCGAAAGGCUGGCGGCUACUUCCGCCAGCUGAACCGUAUUUGGUCUGGUGUGUAUUAAUUUGUAAUGAAGUUCAUGUAGUCCUAUUUGACUUACUCACACAUACACAAUUCAUACAUGAUCUAUAUUUGAUCUAUGUAUCCCUACAAUGUGCCUGCUGCGUCGACGUUUCGACCUAAUUUGGUCUUCUUCAGGACUGGGCACAUGUAACAGCUAAGGCUGCUGGGCCCCAAUUCAUAGGGGUGGACCAGCCAGCAGCCAGAAAGAAAUGAAAAGCCCUACCAACUUGUCUCCCUUUUAUAUCCCCUCCGCCAAAAAUUAGACUGAAUUUACUUGUAUUUAAGUUAUUUUCUACUCUAUUUAGUUUUUGAAAUCUUAACCCUUUCUGCACCGCUUGUGCUUUAAAUCCAUAUUAAUUAUGUUUAUUCACAUAUUUGUGCUUUUAAUAAACAAAUUAAUAGGUAUUUUUGAUCCCAAUAUUAGGGUUAGGGUCCUGCUUGACCUUUGACCUCUGUGGCCUGCUUGGCCGUUGGUCAUUAAGUUGCCUCUAAUGGUUAGGGUUAGGGCGAGUCCCAGGUUAGGGUUAGAAUCCCAUACUAGGGUUAGGGUUAGGGUUAGAUUCCCAGGUUGGGGUUAGUGCUGGGGUUAGGGUUAGGGGUCAGCGCUAUGGUUAGGGUUAGGGUGAGCGCCAUGGUUAGGGUUAGGGCUAGAUGCCAGGCUGGGGUUAUCAUCAGCAGCCGCCCGGACUGCGAGUCGGCUGAUUUUUUGCAGGUCGGGACCCAGGAAACGCGGCGACAGUGGACGUGGCACUGGCUGGAUAGGUUGGGGAAAUAAUCCCGUCUCCCCUAAAUUGCCCUACUUGGGUCGGCGGGGAGCGGGGAAUGCACGGGCCUACGCCCCGUCGGACACGCUCCCCAGGUCCCGAAAGGCUGGCGGCUACUUCCGCCAGCUGAACCGUAUUUGGUCUGGUGUGUAUUAAUUUGUAAUGAAGUUCAUGUAGUCCUAUUUGACUUACUCACACAUACACAAUUCAUACAUGAUCUAUAUUUGAUCUAUGUAUCCCUACAAUGUGCCUGCUGCGUCGACGUUUCGACCUAAUUUGGUCUUCUUCAGGACUGGGCACAUGUAACAGCUAAGGCUGCUGGGCCCCAAUUCAUAGGGGUGGACCAGCCAGCAGCCAGAAAGAAAUGAAAAGCCCUACCAACUUGUCUCCCUUUUAUAUCCCCUCCGCCAAAAAUUAGACUGAAUUUACUUGUAUUUAAGUUAUUUUCUACUCUAUUUAGUUUUUGAAAUCUUAACCCUUUCUGCACCGCUUGUGCUUUAAAUCCAUAUUAAUUAUGUUUAUUCACAUAUUUGUGCUUUUAAUAAACAAAUUAAUAGGUAUUUUUGAUCCCAAUAUUAGGGUUAGGGUCCUGCUUGACCUUUGACCUCUGUGGCCUGCUUGGCCGUUGGUCAUUAAGUUGCCUCUAAUGGUUAGGGUUAGGGCGAGUCCCAGGUUAGGGUUAGAAUCCCAUACUAGGGUUAGGGUUAGGGUUAGAUUCCCAGGUUGGGGUUAGUGCUGGGGUUAGGGUUAGGGGUCAGCGCUAUGGUUAGGGUUAGGGUGAGCGCCAUGGUUAGGGUUAGGGCUAGAUGCCAGGCUGGGGUUAUCAUCAGCAGCCGCCCGGACUGCGAGUCGGCUGAUUUUUUGCAGGUCGGGACCCAGGAAACGCGGCGACAGUGGACGUGGCACUGGCUGGAUAGGUUGGGGAAAUAAUCCCGUCUCCCCUAAAUUGCCCUACUUGGGUCGGCGGGGAGCGGGGAAUGCACGGGCCUACGCCCCGUCGGACACGCUCCCCAGGUCUCGAAAGGCUGGCGGCUACUUCCGCCAGCUGAACCGUAUUUGGUCUGGUGUGUAUUAAUUUGUAAUGAAGUUCAUGUAGUCCUAUUUGACUUACUCACACAUACACAAUUCAUACAUGAUCUAUAUUUGAUCUAUGUAUCCCUACAAUGUGCCUGCUGCGUCGACGUUUCGACCUAAUUUGGUCUUCUUCAGGACUGGGCACAUGUAACAGCUAAGGCUGCUGGGCCCCAAUUCAUAGGGGUGGACCAGCCAGCAGCCAGAAAGAAAUGAAAAGCCCUACCAACUUGUCUCCCUUUUAUAUCCCCUCCGCCAAAAAUUAGACUGAAUUUACUUGUAUUUAAGUUAUUUUCUACUCUAUUUAGUUUUUGAAAUCUUAACCCUUUCUGCACCGCUUGUGCUUUAAAUCCAUAUUAAUUAUGUUUAUUCACAUAUUUGUGCUUUUAAUAAACAAAUUAAUAGGUAUUUUUGAUCCCAAUAUUAGGGUUAGGGUCCUGCUUGACCUUUGACCUCUGUGGCCUGCUUGGCCGUUGGUCAUUAAGUUGCCUCUAAUGGUUAGGGUUAGGGCGAGUCCCAGGUUAGGGUUAGAAUCCCAUACUAGGGUUAGGGUUAGGGUUAGAUUCCCAGGUUGGGGUUAGUGCUGGGGUUAGGGUUAGGGGUCAGCGCUAUGGUUAGGGUUAGGGUGAGCGCCAUGGUUAGGGUUAGGGCUAGAUGCCAGGCUGGGGUUAUCAUCAGCAGCCGCCCGGACUGCGAGUCGGCUGAUUUUUUGCAGGUCGGGACCCAGGAAACGCGGCGACAGUGGACGUGGCACUGGCUGGAUAGGUUGGGGAAAUAAUCCCGUCUCCCCUAAAUUGCCCUACUUGGGUCGGCGGGGAGCGGGGAAUGCACGGGCCUACGCCCCGUCGGACACGCUCCCCAGGUCCCGAAAGGCUGGCGGCUACUUCCGCCAGCUGAACCGUAUUUGGUCUGGUGUGUAUUAAUUUGUAAUGAAGUUCAUGUAGUCCUAUUUGACUUACUCACACAUACACAAUUCAUACAUGAUCUAUAUUUGAUCUAUGUAUCCCUACAAUGUGCCUGCUGCGUCGACGUUUCGACCUAAUUUGGUCUUCUUCAGGACUGGGCACAUGUAACAGCUAAGGCUGCUGGGCCCCAAUUCAUAGGGGUGGACCAGCCAGCAGCCAGAAAGAAAUGAAAAGCCCUACCAACUUGUCUCCCUUUUAUAUCCCCUCCGCCAAAAAUUAGACUGAAUUUACUUGUAUUUAAGUUAUUUUCUACUCUAUUUAGUUUUUGAAAUCUUAACCCUUUCUGCACCGCUUGUGCUUUAAAUCCAUAUUAAUUAUGUUUAUUCACAUAUUUGUGCUUUUAAUAAACAAAUUAAUAGGUAUUUUUGAUCCCAAUAUUAGGGUUAGGGUCCUGCUUGACCUUUGACCUCUGUGGCCUGCUUGGCCGUUGGUCAUUAAGUUGCCUCUAAUGGUUAGGGUUAGGGCGAGUCCCAGGUUAGGGUUAGAAUCCCAUACUAGGGUUAGGGUUAGGGUUAGAUUCCCAGGUUGGGGUUAGUGCUGGGGUUAGGGUUAGGGGUCAGCGCUAUGGUUAGGGUUAGGGUGAGCGCCAUGGUCAGGGUUAGGGCUAGAUGCCAGGCUGGGGUUAUCAUCAGCAGCCGCCCGGACUGCGAGUCGGCUGAUUUUUUGCAGGUCGGGACCCAGGAAACGCGGCGACAGUGGACGUGGCACUGGCUGGAUAGGUUGGGGAAAUAAUCCCGUCUCCCCUAAAUUGCCCUACUUGGGUCGGCGGGGAGCGGGGAAUGCACGGGCCUACGCCCCGUCGGACACGCUCCCCAGGUCCCGAAAGGCUGGCGGCUACUUCCGCCAGCUGAACCGUAUUUGGUCUGGUGUGUAUUAAUUUGUAAUGAAGUUCAUGUAGUCCUAUUUGACUUACUCACACAUACACAAUUCAUACAUGAUCUAUAUUUGAUCUAUGUAUCCCUACAAUGUGCCUGCUGCGUCGACGUUUCGACCUAAUUUGGUCUUCUUCAGGACUGGGCACAUGUAACAGCUAAGGCUGCUGGGCCCCAAUUCAUAGGGGUGGACCAGCCAGCAGCCAGAAAGAAAUGAAAAGCCCUACCAACUUGUCUCCCUUUUAUAUCCCCUCCGCCAAAAAUUAGACUGAAUUUACUUGUAUUUAAGUUAUUUUCUACUCUAUUUAGUUUUUGAAAUCUUAACCCUUUCUGCACCGCUUGUGCUUUAAAUCCAUAUUAAUUAUGUUUAUUCACAUAUUUGUGCUUUUAAUAAACAAAUUAAUAGGUAUUUUUGAUCCCAAUAUUAGGGUUAGGGUCCUGCUUGACCUUUGACCUCUGUGGCCUGCUUGGCCGUUGGUCAUUAAGUUGCCUCUAAUGGUUAGGGUUAGGGCGAGUCCCAGGUUAGGGUUAGAAUCCCAUACUAGGGUUAGGGUUAGGGUUAGAUUCCCAGGUUGGGGUUAGUGCUGGGGUUAGGGUUAGGGGUCAGCGCUAUGGUUAGGGUUAGGGUGAGCGCCAUGGUUAGGGUUAGGGCUAGAUGCCAGGCUGGGGUUAUCAUCAGCAGCCGCCCGGACUGCGAGUCGGCUGAUUUUUUGCAGGUCGGGACCCAGGAAACGCGGCGACAGUGGACGUGGCACUGGCUGGAUAGGUUGGGGAAAUAAUCCCGUCUCCCCUAAAUUGCCCUACUUGGGUCGGCGGGGAGCGGGGAAUGCACGGGCCUACGCCCCGUCGGACACGCUCCCCAGGUCCCGAAAGGCUGGCGGCUACUUCCGCCAGCUGAACCGUAUUUGGUCUGGUGUGUAUUAAUUUGUAAUGAAGUUCAUGUAGUCCUAUUUGACUUACUCACACAUACACAAUUCAUACAUGAUCUAUAUUUGAUCUAUGUAUCCCUACAAUGUGCCUGCUGCGUCGACGUUUCGACCUAAUUUGGUCUUCUUCAGGACUGGGCACAUGUAACAGCUAAGGCUGCUGGGCCCCAAUUCAUAGGGGUGGACCAGCCAGCAGCCAGAAAGAAAUGAAAAGCCCUACCAACUUGUCUCCCUUUUAUAUCCCCUCCGCCAAAAAUUAGACUGAAUUUACUUGUAUUUAAGUUAUUUUCUACUCUAUUUAGUUUUUGAAAUCUUAACCCUUUCUGCACCGCUUGUGCUUUAAAUCCAUAUUAAUUAUGUUUAUUCACAUAUUUGUGCUUUUAAUAAACAAAUUAAUAGGUAUUUUUGAUCCCAAUAUUAGGGUUAGGGUCCUGCUUGACCUUUGACCUCUGUGGCCUGCUUGGCCGUUGGUCAUUAAGUUGCCUCUAAUGGUUAGGGUUAGGGCGAGUCCCAGGUUAGGGUUAGAAUCCCAUACUAGGGUUAGGGUUAGGGUUAGAUUCCCAGGUUGGGGUUAGUGCUGGGGUUAGGGUUAGGGGUCAGCGCUAUGGUUAGGGUUAGGGUGAGCGCCAUGGUUAGGGUUAGGGCUAGAUGCCAGGCUGGGGUUAUCAUCAGCAGCCGCCCGGACUGCGAGUCGGCUGAUUUUUUGCAGGUCGGGACCCAGGAAACGCGGCGACAGUGGACGUGGCACUGGCUGGAUAGGUUGGGGAAACAAUCCCGUCUCCCCUAAAUUGCCCUACUUGGGUCGGCGGGGAGCGGGGAAUGCACGGGCCUACGCCCCGUCGGACACGCUCCCCAGGUCCCGAAAGGCUGGCGGCUACUUCCGCCAGCUGAACCGUAUUUGGUCUGGUGUGUAUUAAUUUGUAAUGAAGUUCAUGUAGUCCUAUUUGACUUACUCACACAUACACAAUUCAUACAUGAUCUAUAUUUGAUCUAUGUAUCCCUACAAUGUGCCUGCUGCGUCGACGUUUCGACCUAAUUUGGUCUUCUUCAGGACUGGGCACAUGUAACAGCUAAGGCUGCUGGGCCCCAAUUCAUAGGGGUGGACCAGCCAGCAGCCAGAAAGAAAUGAAAAGCCCUACCAACUUGUCUCCCUUUUAUAUCCCCUCCGCCAAAAAUUAGACUGAAUUUACUUGUAUUUAAGUUAUUUUCUACUCUAUUUAGUUUUUGAAAUCUUAACCCUUUCUGCACCGCUUGUGCUUUAAAUCCAUAUUAAUUAUGUUUAUUCACAUAUUUGUGCUUUUAAUAAACAAAUUAAUAGGUAUUUUUGAUCCCAAUAUUAGGGUUAGGGUCCUGCUUGACCUUUGACCUCUGUGGCCUGCUUGGCCGUUGGUCAUUAAGUUGCCUCUAAUGGUUAGGGUUAGGGCGAGUCCCAGGUUAGGGUUAGAAUCCCAUACUAGGGUUAGGGUUAGGGUUAGAUUCCCAGGUUGGGGUUAGUGCUGGGGUUAGGGUUAGGGGUCAGCGCUAUGGUUAGGGUUAGGGUGAGCGCCAUGGUUAGGGUUAGGGCUAGAUGCCAGGCUGGGGUUAUCAUCAGCAGCCGCCCGGACUGCGAGUCGGCUGAUUUUUUGCAGGUCGGGACCCAGGAAACGCGGCGACAGUGGACGUGGCACUGGCUGGAUAGGUUGGGGAAACAAUCCCGUCUCCCCUAAAUUGCCCUACUUGGGUCGGCGGGGAGCGGGGAAUGCACGGGCCUACGCCCCGUCGGACACGCUCCCCAGGUCCCGAAAGGCUGGCGGCUACUUCCGCCAGCUGAACCGUAUUUGGUCUGGUGUGUAUUAAUUUGUAAUGAAGUUCAUGUAGUCCUAUUUGACUUACUCACACAUACACAAUUCAUACAUGAUCUAUAUUUGAUCUAUGUAUCCCUACAAUGUGCCUGCUGCGUCGACGUUUCGACCUAAUUUGGUCUUCUUCAGGACUGGGCACAUGUAACAGCUAAGGCUGCUGGGCCCCAAUUCAUAGGGGUGGACCAGCCAGCAGCCAGAAAGAAAUGAAAAGCCCUACCAACUUGUCUCCCUUUUAUAUCCCCUCCGCCAAAAAUUAGACUGAAUUUACUUGUAUUUAAGUUAUUUUCUACUCUAUUUAGUUUUUGAAAUCUUAACCCUUUCUGCACCGCUUGUGCUUUAAAUCCAUAUUAAUUAUGUUUAUUCACAUAUUUGUGCUUUUAAUAAACAAAUUAAUAGGUAUUUUUGAUCCCAAUAUUAGGGUUAGGGUCCUGCUUGACCUUUGACCUCUGUGGCCUGCUUGGCCGUUGGUCAUUAAGUUGCCUCUAAUGGUUAGGGUUAGGGCGAGUCCCAGGUUAGGGUUAGAAUCCCAUACUAGGGUUAGGGUUAGGGUUAGAUUCCCAGGUUGGGGUUAGUGCUGGGGUUAGGGUUAGGGGUCAGCGCUAUGGUUAGGGUUAGGGUGAGCGCCAUGGUCAGGGUUAGGGCUAGAUGCCAGGCUGGGGUUAUCAUCAGCAGCCGCCCGGACUGCGAGUCGGCUGAUUUUUUGCAGGUCGGGACCCAGGAAACGCGGCGACAGUGGACGUGGCACUGGCUGGAUAGGUUGGGGAAACAAUCCCGUCUCCCCUAAAUUGCCCUACUUGGGUCGGCGGGGAGCGGGGAAUGCACGGGCCUACGCCCCGUCGGACACGCUCCCCAGGUCCCGAAAGGCUGGCGGCUACUUCCGCCAGCUGAACCGUAUUUGGUCUGGUGUGUAUUAAUUUGUAAUGAAGUUCAUGUAGUCCUAUUUGACUUACUCACACAUACACAAUUCAUACAUGAUCUAUAUUUGAUCUAUGUAUCCCUACAAUGUGCCUGCUGCGUCGACGUUUCGACCUAAUUUGGUCUUCUUCAGGACUGGGCACAUGUAACAGCUAAGGCUGCUGGGCCCCAAUUCAUAGGGGUGGACCAGCCAGCAGCCAGAAAGAAAUGAAAAGCCCUACCAACUUGUCUCCCUUUUAUAUCCCCUCCGCCAAAAAUUAGACUGAAUUUACUUGUAUUUAAGUUAUUUUCUACUCUAUUUAGUUUUUGAAAUCUUAACCCUUUCUGCACCGCUUGUGCUUUAAAUCCAUAUUAAUUAUGUUUAUUCACAUAUUUGUGCUUUUAAUAAACAAAUUAAUAGGUAUUUUUGAUCCCAAUAUUAGGGUUAGGGUCCUGCUUGACCUUUGACCUCUGUGGCCUGCUUGGCCGUUGGUCAUUAAGUUGCCUCUAAUGGUUAGGGUUAGGGCGAGUCCCAGGUUAGGGUUAGAAUCCCAUACUAGGGUUAGGGUUAGGGUUAGAUUCCCAGGUUGGGGUUAGUGCUGGGGUUAGGGUUAGGGGUCAGCGCUAUGGUUAGGGUUAGGGUGAGCGCCAUGGUUAGGGUUAGGGCUAGAUGCCAGGCUGGGGUUAUCAUCAGCAGCCGCCCGGACUGCGAGUCGGCUGAUUUUUUGCAGGUCGGGACCCAGGAAACGCGGCGACAGUGGACGUGGCACUGGCUGGAUAGGUUGGGGAAAUAAUCCCGUCUCCCCUAAAUUGCCCUACUUGGGUCGGCGGGGAGCGGGGAAUGCACGGGCCUACGCCCCGUCGGACACGCUCCCCAGGUCCCGAAAGGCUGGCGGCUACUUCCGCCAGCUGAACCGUAUUUGGUCUGGUGUGUAUUAAUUUGUAAUGAAGUUCAUGUAGUCCUAUUUGACUUACUCACACAUACACAAUUCAUACAUGAUCUAUAUUUGAUCUAUGUAUCCCUACAAUGUGCCUGCUGCGUCGACGUUUCGACCUAAUUUGGUCUUCUUCAGGACUGGGCACAUGUAACAGCUAAGGCUGCUGGGCCCCAAUUCAUAGGGGUGGACCAGCCAGCAGCCAGAAAGAAAUGAAAAGCCCUACCAACUUGUCUCCCUUUUAUAUCCCCUCCGCCAAAAAUUAGACUGAAUUUACUUGUAUUUAAGUUAUUUUCUACUCUAUUUAGUUUUUGAAAUCUUAACCCUUUCUGCACCGCUUGUGCUUUAAAUCCAUAUUAAUUAUGUUUAUUCACAUAUUUGUGCUUUUAAUAAACAAAUUAAUAGGUAUUUUUGAUCCCAAUAUUAGGGUUAGGGUCCUGCUUGACCUUUGACCUCUGUGGCCUGCUUGGCCGUUGGUCAUUAAGUUGCCUCUAAUGGUUAGGGUUAGGGCGAGUCCCAGGUUAGGGUUAGAAUCCCAUACUUAGGGUUAGGGUUAGGGUUAGGGUUAGGGUUAGGGUUAGGGAUAGGGUUAGGGUUAGGGUUAGGGUUAGGGUUAGGGUUAGGGUUAGGGUUAGGGGUUAGGGUUAGGGUUAGGGUUAGGGUUAGGGUUAGGGUUAGGGGGCUCCCCCGGCCCCCAUGGAUCACUAAUUUGUGUUUAAGGUUUGUAUUUGAUUUGGUUUUAGUGUGUUGUGUUACAUGAUUGUUAUUUCAUUAAUCUCUUUUUUUUCAGGUUUUUGAUUGUUUUUGGACACACAAACACACAAACAAACAAACAAAAGGUACAUGAUCGACACAUGAACUAUGUACAGGUGGUGUGCAUCGCGACGACGUUUCGACCCUGCUUGGGUCUUCAUCAGGUCUUAUGCACACAUAAAAUAAAUGGCUGCUGGGCCCCAAUUCAUAGGGGUUAUCCCAGCAAGCAGCCAAAAUAAAAUGAGAAUUUCCUGUCCCCUUUUCCCUUUUGUAUAUCCUUGGAGCAAUAAUUAGACUUAAUUUCCUCGGAUAUUUUUGGUUAUUUUCAACUGUAUUUAGUUUGAGAAAAGUUAACCCUUUAACUGCUGUUUGGUUUUUAAUUAAAUGAUAUAUUUAUCCUUUACCUGUGUUUAGGCUUAGACUGACCUAGGGUUAGGGUUAGGGUCAGUGUUAGGGUUAGGGUUCAAACUGAGGCUAGGGUUAGGCUAGGGUUAGGGUUAGGGUUAGGGUUAGGGUUAGGGGUUAGGGGUUAGGGUUAGGGUUAGGGGUUAGGGGUUAGGGUUAGGGUUAGGGUUAGUGGGGUUAGGGUUAGGGUUAGGGGUUAGGGUUAGGGGUUAGGGUUAGGGGUUAGGGUUAGGGUUAGGGUUAGGGGUUAGGUUUUUGGGUAAGUAUCCCGUCUCCCCUAAGUUGCCCUACUUGGGCGGCGGGGGAGCGGGGAAUGCACGGUCCUUCGCCC